UUGCCGGCGUUAAGCCGGAGGAAGGUGGGGACGACGUCAAGUCCUCAUGGCCCUUAUGUCCAGGGCUACACACGUGCUACAAUGGUCGGUACAGAGCGCAGCCAACCCGCGAGGGUGAGCAAAUCGCAAAGAGCCGGCCUCAGUACGGAUUGCACUCUGCAACUCGAGUGCAUGAAGGCGGAAUCGCUAGUAAUCGCUGAUCAGCAGGCAGCGGUGAAUACGUUCCCGGGCCUUGUACACACCGCCCGUCACACCAUGGGAGUUGAUUGCUCCAGAAGUGGCUGAGCUAACCCGCAAGGGAAGCAGGUCCCCAAGGAGUGGUUGAUAACUGGGGUGAAGUCGUAACAAGGUAGCCGUAGGGGAACCUGCGGCUGGAUCACCUCCUUU
rnacentral:rRNA from 1 species